AUCAGAGUGGCGCAGUGGAAAUGUGGUGGGCCCAUAACCAACAGGUCCCAGGAUUGAAACCUGGCUCUGAUA
rfam:Brassica napus, WGS project CCCW01000000 data, contig: 7688